AUUGACAUAUUAGCCGAGUGACAGCUGUCAAUUGAUAUUGAUAUAAAUAUGAGUUUAGGAAUUAUACAAUUUUAGAAAUUUCAAGAAAUUGGGAGCUUAAUUAAAUAAAUCAAUUGAAAUUUGGAUAGAACUCCUCUGUUCAGCAUAUCGCCGCAAGUCAUCGGUCCAACGUCCAACCUGAGAGAAUUUGCUAGCAUUAGCCUUAGCAGGAGCAGUGCUUCGCAGAAUCUACCACCGGACCGGAUUCGCGACCCACCGAGAAGAUCCGGCGGGAAGCUUAGUGGGUUGUGUCUAUGGAUGACGAGGAUUGAGGCAAAAAAAAGUACUAAAAAUUUAAAGGAGUGCUAUCCGUGAAAUGACCAAAAAGGUGAAGUAGACAAACAUUGGGGGGAAGCCAAGUGAAGCGUAUCAAUGAUAGCCUACCGACAAAGCUAUAAAUUUAAUGUUUAGCUCAAUAAUCCUGAAUAUCGUUUGUUACCAGUAUUCAUUUUUAAGUAUUUGAAUUAGUAAAUGUGUACUAGGAUUACAGGAAAUUGAAGCAGGUUUUUCCAAAUUAAUUCGAUUACGCAAAAAUGUGUUUAUAAUAUCGAUUUUAUUGAUGUUUUCUUCGAUUUUCACGAGUUGGAGACAUUAUUAAAACUACUAUUAUUAUUGCUGUUUAAUAUCUCGUUUUGUAAUGUAAUUAUUUCUAACUUUUCGAAUACAUAACAGUUUUCGUGGUCACGAACGAAAAAGGUUUGGUUAAGGUUUGUUUGUCGACAUUUGUAUUUUGUGAAAUUGAUAAUUUUUAUCCGAAAAAUAGACGGCGAUUAAACUGUAAAA